AGAGUUGAUCAUGGACUCAGAACGAACGCUGGCGGCGCGUUUAAGCAUGCAAGUCGAGCGGCAGGGCCUCGGGCCCCUAGAGCGGCGGACGGGUGAGUAACACGUGGACAAUCUGCCCCCCGGCCCGGGAUAGCCCAGGGAAACCUGGAUAAUACCGGAUGAGACGGGACCCGCGAUGGCGGGACCCGGGAAAGGCGCUGCGGCGCCGCCGGGGGAUGAGUCUGCGUCCCAUUAGCUAGACGGCGGGGUAACGGCCCACCGUGGCGACGAUGGGUAGCCGGCCUGAGAGGGUGGACGGCCACAUUGGAACUGAGACACGGUCCAGACUCCUACGGGAGGCAGCAGCUAAGAAUCUUCCGCAAGUGGGACGAAAGCCUGACGGAGCGACGCCCGCGUGAACGAAGAAGGCCGUGAGGUUGUAAAGUUCUUUCGGGAGGGGGAACAACCGUGGCAGGGAAUGGCCGCGGGAUGACGUGAAUCCCGGAAUAAGCCCCGGCUAACUACGUGCCAGCAGCCGC
rnacentral:rRNA from 1 species